rnacentral:rRNA from 1 species
AUGAAGGAGCACCAAUUAGACGCGAUUGUGACGCCCAACAGCGAUGCUUCUAGCCUUCUCACCACAGGUGGUCACCCUGGCAUCGUUGUGCCGGCAGGGUUUAACGAGCAAGGGGUUCCCUUUGACAUAUGCUUCGGCGGGCUGCAGGGGUACGAGUCAAGGCUGAUCGAGAUGGCGUAUGAAUUCGAGCAAGCUACCAAAGUGAGGAAGCCACCCAUGUUUAAGCCCUAG